rnacentral:lncRNA from 1 species
ACUUCUAUAACCAUAAUUAGUUGAUUCGGAUUCGAUAAAAAUUUAGUACGAAUAUAAUUCGAAUAAAAUUCGUAUUUUAAUUUUUAAAUUUGUUGAAAAAUACGAUUUAAAAAAUAGAUUCGUCAAUUAUUCGGAUAUGCGAUUUAUAUGAAAAUUAUUAGUUAUCAAUGAAAAAUUUAAGAUCAACAAUUCGAAUAUUAAACUAAGUUUUUUUUUCUUUAAAUUUAUACUACUAGCAUAUAUAGUUAUAAAUUUUUAAAAAUAUAAAUAUAAAGAUUUGUAAAAUAAAGUAGAUUAAGUAAAAACAACAAUAGUAAAUUUUAUUGUCAUCGACAUCUUCAUCUUUUCAUGAUCCACAUAUUUCGAAAGUUUAUAAAAUUUUUAAAUAAUUCACGAAUAAUUCGACAAUAAUUCAAAAAAAAAUUAUUUAAAAAUUUUGCGCCUUUUUUUGGCCAAACAGUUAGGCAUACGCGAAUUAUUCGCAAAUUAUU